rnacentral:rRNA from 1 species
GAUGAACGCUGGCGGCGUGCCUAAUACAUGCAAGUCGAGCGAACGGACGAGAAGCUUGCUUCUCUGAUGUUAGCGGCGGACGGGUGAGUAACACGUGGAUAACCUACCUAUAAGACUGGGAUAACUUCGGGAAACCGGAGCUAAUACCGGAUGAUAUUUUGAACCGCAUGGUUCAAAAGUGAAAGACGGUCUUGCUGUCACUUAUAGAUGGAUCCGCGCUGCAUUAGCUAGUUGGUAAGGUAACGGCUUACCAAGGCAACGAUGCAUAGCCGACCUGAGAGGGUGAUCGGCCACACUGGAGCUGAGACACGGACCAGACUCCUACGGGAGGCAGCAGUAGGGAAUCUUCGGCAAUGGGCGAAAGCCUGACGGAGCAACGCCGCGUGAGUGAUGAAGGUCUUCGGAUCGUAAAACUCUGUUAUUAGGGAAGAACAUAUGUGUAAGUAACUGUGCACAUCUUGGCGGUACCUAAUCAGAAAGCCACGGCUAACUACGUG